rnacentral:rRNA from 1 species
AGUGAACGCUGGCGGUAGGCCUAACACAUGCAAGUCGAACGGCAGCACAGGAGAGCUUGCUCUCUAGGUGGCGAGUGGCGGACGGGUGAGGAAUACAUCGGAAUCUGCCCAGUCGUGGGGGAUAACGUAGGGAAACUUACGCUAAUACCGCAUACGACCUUCGGGUGAAAGAGGGGGAUCGCAAGACCUCUCGCGAUUGGAUGAGCCGAUGUCGGAUUAGCUAGUUAGCGGGGUAAUGGCCCACCAAGGCGACGAUCCGUAGCUGGUCUGAGAGGAUGAUCAGCCACACUGGAACUGAGACACGGUCCAGACUCCUACGGGAGGCAGCAGUGGGGAAUAUUGGACAAUGGGCGCAAGCCUGAUCCAGCCAUACCGCGUGGGUGAAGAAGGCCUUCGGGUCGUAAAGCCCUUUUGUUGGGAAAGAAAUCUUUCAGGCUAAUACCCUGGGAGGAUGACGGUACCCAAAGAAUAAGCACCGGCUAACUUCGUG